rnacentral:rRNA from 1 species
AACGAACGCUGGCGGCAGGCUUAACACAUGCAAGUCGAACGCAUCCUUCGGGGUGAGUGGCAGACGGGUGAGUAACGCGUGGGAACGUGCCCUUCAGUUCGGGAUAACCCAGGGAAACUUGGGCUAAUACCGGAUACGUGCGAGAGCAGAAAGAUUUAUCGCUAAAGGAUCGGCCCGCGUCUGAUUAGCUAGUUGGUGGGGUAAUGGCCCACCAAGGCGACGAUCAUUACCUGGUCUGAGAGGAUGAUCAGCCACAUUGGGACUGAGACACGGCCCAAACUCCUACGGGAGGCAGCAGUGGGGAAUAUUGGACAAUGGGCGCAAGCCUGAUCCAGCCAUGCCGCGUGAGUGAUGAAGGCCUUAGGGUUGUAAAGCUCUUUCGUCCGGGACGAUAAUGACGGUACCGGAAGAAGAAGCCCCGGCUAACUUCGUGCCAGCAGCCGCCGUAA